AACGAACGCUGGCGGCAGGCUUAACACAUGCAAGUCGAGCGCAUCCUUCGGGGUGAGCGGCAGACGGGUGAGUAACGCGUGGGAAUCUACCUUUUGCUACGGAAUAGCUCCGGGAAACUGGAAUUAAUACCGUAUGUGCCCUUAGGGGGAAAGAUUUAUCGGCAAGAGAUGAGCCCGCGUUGGAUUAGCUAGUUGGUGGGGUAAAGGCCUACCAAGGCGACGAUCCAUAGCUGGUCUGGGAGGAUGAUCAGCCACAUUGGGACUGAGACACGGCCCAAACUCCUACGGGAGGCAGCAGUGGGGAAUAUUGGGCAAUGGGCGCAAGCCUGAUCCAGCCAUGCCGCGUGAGUGAUGAAGGCCUUAGGGUUGUAAAGCUCUUUCACCGGAGAAGAUAAUGACGGUAUCCGGAGAAGAAGCCCCGGCUAACUUCGUG
rnacentral:rRNA from 1 species